AUGGGACUUGGCACAGUUGCAGCGAUGUGGUCUUAUCUUUGUCAGCGCUAUCAGCCCUCUGGUGAUGCUCUCUACCUAUCUGUGGUGCGUCAGGAGCACGCCCUUCAGCAAGGUGAUUCCUCUGUUGAUGAGUUCUAUUCACAGUGCUCUGCCAUCUGGCGUCAGCUUGACUCUCUUCAGACAGUUGUUUGUGGCACCUGUCGUUGCUGUCAGACUACUCGGUCUGAUCUGGAGUUUCAGCGGGUCCAUGAGUUCUUAUCUCGUCUCCGCUCUGAGUUUGAGCCGCGACGUGCUCACUUGCUUGCUCGUGGCCGUGUUCCUAUCUCGGAGGUGCUUGCUGAGCUUCAUGCUGAAGAGACCCGCCUUUGCUUUGCUGGUUUGCUGGUGGUCCCGUCUGUGUUGGCUGCUCGGGCUCCUGUGUCAUCAGCUCGACUCACCGCUCCACCGCUCCUUCCCACACCUUCCGGGGAGUGGGUCGCCCUGCUUAUACUGAGAGGGGCACGUCGCGCCGUGACACCGUCUGUGGUUACUGCUCCUGACCAGGUCACCCUGAGUCUGAUUGUCGCCAGAAGAAGCGUGAUCAGAGGCGUUCCUCCUCCAGCGGGACCCCUGUGUCUUCCUCGACUCCGUCACUCACUGACCAGGACAUUAUUCGCCUCAAGCGUCUUCUUGCUUCAUCGGGUUCCUCAUCAACUGGCUCCGCUGCUGCUGUGA
rnacentral:rRNA from 1 species